AACAUGUCCAGUCGUGGGGGAUAGCCCGGCGAAAGCCGGAUUAAUACCGCAUACGUCCGAGAGGAGAAAGCGGGGGACCGCAAGGCCUCGCGCGAUUGGGUUGGCCGAUGUCCGAUUAGCUAGUUGGUGGGGUAAAGGCCCACCAAGGCGAUGAUCGGUAGCUGGUCUGAGAGGAUGAUCAGCCACACUGGGACUGAGACACGGCCCAGACUCCUACGGGAGGCAGCAGUGGGGAAUUUUGGACAAUGGGGGCAACCCUGAUCCAGCCAUUCCGCGUGAGUGAAGAAGGCCUUCGGGUUGUAAAGCUCUUUUGUCCGGAACGAAACGGAUGCGACCAAUACUCGCGUCUACUGACGGUACCGGAAGAAUAAGCACCGGCUAACUACGUGCCAGCAGCCGCGGUAAUACGUAGGGUGCGAGCGUUAAUCGGAAUUACUGGGCGUAAAGCGUGCGCAGGCGGUUUUGUAAGCCAGAUGUGAAAUCCCCGGGCUUAACCUGGGAAUGGCAUUUGGGACUGCAAGGCUGGAGUGCGGCAGAGGAGACUGGAAUUCCUGGUGUAGCAGUGAAAUGCGUAGAUAUCAGGAGGAAUACCGAUGGCGAAGGCAGGUCUCUGGGCUGACACUGACGCUCAUGCACGAAAGCGUGGGGAGCAAACAGGAUUAGAUACCC
rnacentral:rRNA from 1 species